GAGAGCGCAGUACAAUGGAAAGUUGUAUGCUGCGUUCGAGGAUGAAUCACUCCUGAAAAUGAAUCUAUUGAUUCUCUCCCAAUUGUUUGGACCAUAGGUGCGAUGAUUUACUUCAU
rfam:Gossypium raimondii chromosome 6, whole genome shotgun sequence.